GUGCUUGCUUUGGCAGCGCAUAUACUAAAAUUGGGAUGAUACAGAGAAGAUUAGCAUGGUUCCUGCGCAAGGAUGACAUGCAAAUUUGUGAAGUGUUUUAUAUUAAA